rnacentral:tRNA from 1 species
GGCAUCAUAGCUCAGUUGGUAGAGCGUCGGACUGAAAAUCCGUGCGUCCCUGGUUCAAGUCCGGGUGAUGCCA